UACGAACCGUACAAACGUUAUUCGGAAUCACUGGGCUUAAAGGGUGCGUAGGCGGCCAUGUAAGUGAGAUGUGAAAUCCCUCGGCUCAACCGAGGAAGUGCAUUUCAUACUGCAUGGCUUGAGGGAGACAGGGGUAAGCGGAACUGAUGGUGGAGCGGUGAAAUGCGUUGAUAUCAUCAGGAACACCGGUGGCGAAAGCGGCUUACUGGGUCUCUUCUGACGCUGAGGUACGAAAGCUAGGGUAGCGAACGGG
rnacentral:rRNA from 1 species